UACCAGCUCUCCGAGUGGUAGGGAUGAUUAUUGGGCUUAAAGCGUCCGUAGCCGGCUUAGCAAGUCUCCUGUUAAAUUCAGCGACCUAAUCGUUGAGCCGCGGGAGAUACUACUAGGCUAGGAGGCGGGAGAGGUCAACGGUACUUCCGGGGUAGGGUGAAAUCCUAUAAUCCCGGGAGGACCACCAGUGGCGAAGGCUGUUGACUAGAACGCGCUCGACGGUGAGGGACGAAAGCUGGGGGAGCGAACCGGAUUAGAUACCCGGGUAGUCCCAGCUGUAAACGAUGCGAGCUAGGUGUUGGGAUGGCUACGUGCCAUUUCAGUGCCGCAGGGAAGCCAUUAAGCUCGCCGCCUGGGGAGUACGUCCGCAAGGCUGAAACUUAAGGAAUUGGCGGGGAGCACCACAAGGCGUGAAGCUUGCGGUUC
rnacentral:rRNA from 1 species